rnacentral:lncRNA from 1 species
CCGGAGGCUGCCAUGGCGGGUGGGCAGCUUGACUUCUCCUCCCGGCCAGUUCUCGAGCGCCUCACCAGGCCUCGCCCUGCAGCCUCGCUCUCCCUGGCGCUGCGCGGCCUAGGGGACUGGGCUGCUGGCCUCCGGGUGCGGGGUGGGGGCAGGCUCUGACCUGGGGCGUCCUGGCCGCGCGAGCCGCGGGAUGGGGCCCCGGGCCCCGGAGGAGGCGCCGCUGCUGUGUCCCUUGGUGGAGAGGGCGCUUCCGGCCCUGCGCGGUUUCCAGCCAGGAAGCUUCGGGAAGCCUGGACGCGUGCGUGGGGUGUUGGGAAGGAGGUGACUUCGCCUGUGAUGGACUCCCAGUGUGAGCUGUGAUGGACUCCCAGUGUGAGCUGUGAUGGACUCCCAGUGUGAGCUGUGAUGGACUUCCAGUGUGAGCACUGGCCAGAGUGACCAGGCCGACCAUCAACAGCCCUGAUCCAGAUGCAGAGGCCAGGAUGUGGGCCCAGCCCUGUGCCAGAAGGCUGGCUGGAAUAAAGGGAUGGGCAGGCUGGCAUGGGGGCACCCGCUGCCCCUGCCUGGGUGUUGCUGUGUAUUCCCGCCGGCCAGGGGCCACUGCCAGGACCACCCCUCCCUUUUCAUAUCCCGAUUCUUAAGUUCUGCUAUUGUGGUAUUCUGGUCGAAAAAAAAGAACCGCUUGGCUGUUUUUGAACUGCCUGGAGCCUAAGAUCCUGAAUUUUUUUCCCCCCCAAGGGGGAAAAUCUAUAUGGAAAACAUUUAUUUUAAAAUACAGGAUGAAGUGAAUUAAAACAUUUAAAUGCA